rnacentral:rRNA from 1 species
ACCAUUCCGAACAGAGUAGUUAAGCCCGUUAGCGCCAAUGGUACUACAAUCGUGGGAGAGUAGGUCGCCGCCUUCC